rnacentral:rRNA from 1 species
UUUAGUCAUGGCUCAGGAUGAACGCUAGCGGGAGGCUUAAUACAUGCAAGUCGAACGGUAAGGCUCUUUUCGGAGAGUACACGAGUGGCGCACGGGUGAGUAACGCGUACACAAUCUGCCCUUAGGUGGGGAAUAGCCCUGGGAAACUGGGAUUAAUGCCGCAUAAUACUAUAUUUUUCAAGGAUGAUAUAGUUAAAGCUCCGGCGCCUAAGGAUGAGUGUGCGUCCCAUUAGCUAGUUGGUAAGGUAACGGCUUACCAAGGCGACGAUGGGUAGGGGGCGUGAGAGCGUGAUCCCCCACACGGGUACUGAGACACGGACCCGACUCCUACGGGAGGCAGCAGUAAGGAAUAUUGGUCAAUGGAGGGAACUCUGAACCAGCCAUCCCGCGUGCAGGAUGAAUGCCCUAUGGGUUGUAAACUGCUUUUAUAUAGGAAGAAACGCCAUUAUUUAUGAUGGUUUGACGGUACUAUACGAAUAAGGACCGGCUAACUCCGUG